AUAACUCUUUUCAUAGGGUUAUAACUCUUUUCAUAGGGUUAUAACUCUUUUCAUAGGCUUUCUGUCUUUGUUAUCAUCUUUUGUUCUCAUCUUUUGUAAUAGACAGUCUCUCUCCAGCUCUGGAGGUACCGGGGCUGUGAGAGAAACCAGACAGAGAUAAUAGACUCACCAAAAGCUCAAUUAUUGAUUACUAUAAUUAUAUAAUUAUUAAUGGCCUUCGAAGGGACAUUCCAGUUGAGGGGUAGGCUGCCAAAGCUGACCCAACAGAUAGAACAAAAACAUCCGCACCAUAAUGGCAGCAGGUAUACAGGGAAGAUGCCAAGUCUUGGUGUCCUUUUUUUACAUUAUGGUGAGUUCAAAUGGGUGAAUAGACUCAUUUAACCUCAUCUUCAAUCGAUCUGAAUGACCAAGCAAACACAGAUAGCUGCAUACUCCCGAACAGACGUGGCCCUGAUGCGGCCCUGAUGCGGCCCUGAUGUGGCCCUGACGCGGCUUUUGCUACUGUCCCGCGACAGAGGAGCGUCUGGCUCGCUCGCUCGCUCGCUCACUCGCUAGCUCCCACUUCUGUGUAUUUCUUUUUGGUGUCAGGUAUGCCACGUGUUCUGUAUUUAGUCUUCACUAGUAUUUUCUUGAUUGUGUAGUUCUUGUGGUGCACGUCAUGGAGGCGUCAACCUCACUCCCCGACAGCUUAAGAGACCAGCGUGCUAGCGACUAGCGGUUUUAGCAUCCUUGCUAGCACGCCCGCCUCCCACGUCCAAGGUUGCGAGUUCGAGUCUGGUGUGGGACUGUGCUUGUCUGCUGGGCUGGAAUGGAUGGCUCUCAUCCGGCUCAGACCUGGCUCUCAUCGGGCUCAGAUCUGGCUAUCAUCCGGCUCAGACCUGGCUCUCAUCCGGCUCAGACCUGGCUCUCAUCCGGCUCAGACCUGGCUCUCAUCCGGCUCAGGUCUGUCUCAGAUCAGAGCUGGAGAGAGACACAGGGUUAGCAGUGGUCUGAGACAUUGCAAGCAAACUGACCUCACCAGGCAGUGGAAGAAGCCCCAUUGAGUCUUCUGGAACAAUCUGAAGAUUACAGUGCAGGUCUCACUGCAGUGCCUUAGAGACGGUGGUUUCUUUGUGUUAUUUUCCUCUUAUUGUUUUGUUUACCUUUUACCUACCGAAUCACUUGACCAUGAAGUUAAAAAUGUCUGUAAGAGAAGCUCAAAUCAGUGUAAUGGUCAUUGCUUGCAUUGAUUACAAUCACACACACACACACACACACAUUUGCUCUCUAGAUUUUCCUGUGUACUCAUAAUUAUUAUCCAAACAUUGAAAGGAAGGAUUCUGAAAUGUUCUAAAUGAAGGAUUUUUAUGUAUCUGUAAUCCCAUUUAAUAUAUUUGCUUUUUUACCGCAAUAUAUAAAUGUAACUGCUAUUGCAAAAAUAUAUCCUAUUGUAUUACAUGAUGUGUAUUUUGUAUCGUCCGAAUGUUCGUUUUGUUUUGUUUUAUGGUGCCAAAGAUUUGUCAGAAAUGUUUACCAAUGCCAAGCCAUCAAAUAUAAAGAACUAUCUCAUUUUUGACAUUUUCAUAUUGUCACACAGCAACACAAAUGAUGACAAUAAACAUGUUCUCAC
ensembl:lncRNA